ACUCUACUAAACCAAAAGGCGCAAUGAAAGUAAAGGUCCGCCCCGCGCGGACCGAGGGAGGACUCGCCCGUCCGUCCGCGGACGGGCGCAGCACUCCCGGGGCGUCUCGUUCUCAUCGCGAGAAGAGGCGCACCCAGAGCGUACACGCUGGGACCCGAAAGAUGGUGAACUAUGCCUGGUCAGGACGAAGUCAGGGGAAACCCUGAUGGAGGUCCGUAGCGAUUCUGACGUGCAAAUCGAUCGUCGGAACUGGGUAUAGGGGCGAAAGACUAAUCGAACCUUCUAGUAGCUGGUUCCUUCCGA
rnacentral:rRNA from 1 species